rnacentral:rRNA from 1 species
UACGGGGGGAGCAAGCGUUGUUCGGAUUUACUGGGCGUAAAGGGCGCGUAGGCGGUCAGCACAAUUCAGUUGUGAAAUCUCCGGGCUUAACUCGGAAACUGCCAUUGAUACUAUCAGUCUUGAAUACCGUGGAGGUCAGCGGAAUAUGUCAUGUAGCGGUGAAAUGCUUAGAUAUGACAUAGAACACCAAUUGCGAAGGCAGCUGGCUACACGAAUAUUGACACUGAUGCACGAAAGCGUGGGGAUCAAACAGG